rnacentral:rRNA from 1 species
UUGAGAGUUUGAUCCUGGCUCAGGAUGAACGCUGGCGGUGUGCCUUAGGUAUGCAAGUCGAACGAGUUUGCAGCAAUGCAAGCUAGUGGCGGACGGGUGAGUAACGCGUAUGGAUCUACCCAAGAGUUGGAGAUAACCUGCCGAAAGGUGGGCUAAUACACAAUAGUCUCUACGGAGUAAAGGGCUUAACUGCCCGCUUUUGGAGGAACAUGCGUCCUAUCAGCUAGUUGGUGAGGUAAUGGCUCACCAAGGCUAUGACGGGUAUCUGGACUGAGAGGUUGAACAGACACAGGGGCACUGAGACACGGGCUCCACAUCUACGGAUGGCAGCAACCAGGAAUAUUGGGCAAUGGGGGAAACCCUGACCCAGCGACACCGCGUGGAGGAUGAAGGCUUUAGGGUCGUAAACUCCUUUUACUAAGCCAUUCACGGCUUAGAGAAUAAGCACCUACUAACUACGUGCCAGAAGUCUCGGUAAUACGUAGGGUGCAAGCGUUAUCCGGAUUUACUGGGCGUAAAGAGUAUGUAGGCGGUCUACCAAGUCGUAGUUUAAAUCCCGGGGCUCAACCCCGGUCUUGGUUACGAUACUGGCUGACUUGAAGAUUAUUCGGGGUACUGGAACAGUUGGUGUAGUGGUGAAAUACGUUGAUAUCAACUGGAACACCGAAGGCGAAGGCAAGUACCUAGGAUUUUCCUGACGCUGAGAUACGAAAGCUAGGGUAGCGAAACAGAUUAGAGACCUGUGUAGUCCUAGCCGUAAACGAUGGAUGCUAGCUAGUGUGCAAGCACUGGCGUAAGCUAACGCGUUAAGCAUCCCGCCUGGGGAGUACGACCGCAAGGUUAAAACUCAAAGGAAUUGACGGGGACCCGCACAACCAGUGGAGCGUGUGGUUUAAUUCGAGACGAAGCGAAAAACCUCACCAAGGCUUGACAUAAUAGCGUUCUAUGCCCGAGAAACCGGGCAAAUCCGUAAGGAGGCUAUUACAGGUGUUGCAUGGCUGUCGUCAGCUCGUGCCGUGAGGUGUUCCCUUAAGUGGGGAAACGAGUGCAACCCUUGUCUAAUGUUAAAUAUUCAUUAGAGACUGCCCCGAUUUUUCGGGGAGGAAGGAAAGGCGGACGUCAAGUCAGCAUGGCCCUUAUGCCUUGGGCUACACACACCCUACAAUGGCGAAGAACAAUGGGUCGCAAGCUCGUAAGAGCAAGCUAAUCUCAGAAAUUUCGCCUCAGUUCAGAUUGAGGUCUGAAACUCGACCUCAUGAAGUUGGAAUUGGUAGUAAUCGCGGAUCAGCGGGCCGCGGUGAAUACGUUAUCGGGUCUUGUACACACCGCCCGUCAAGGCAGCAAAGUCGAUAGCUAUCGAAGGUCGCGUAUGCGAACGAGAUAGAGAUUGAUGAUGAGGCUUAAGUCGUAACAAGGUAUCCCUAGCCGAAGCUGGGGAUGGAUCACCUCCUUUCU